rnacentral:tRNA from 1 species
GAGUCUGAAGUAAAAUUUACAUUUAGUUUCGGCCUAAAAAUUGACUUUAUUAAGUCCAGACUUU